rnacentral:rRNA from 1 species
CAGUAGCCACGGUAAUACGAAGGGGGCUAGCGUUGUUCGGAUUUACUGGGCGUAAAGGGUGCGUAGGCGGAUUGUUAAGUCAGGGGUGAAAUCCCGAGGCUCAACCUCGGAACUGCCUUUGAUACUGGCGAUCUUGAGUCCGGGAGAGGUGAGUGGAACUGCGAGUGUAGAGGUGAAAUUCGUAGAUAUUCGCAAGAACACCGGUGGCGAAGGCGGCUCACUGGCCCGGAACUGACGCUGAGGCACGAAAGCGUGGGGAGCAAACAGGAUUAGAUACCCCCGUAGUCCCUGUCUCUUAUAC